AGUGAACGCUGGCGGUAGGCCUAACACAUGCAAGUCGAACGGCAGCACAGGAGAGCUUGCUCUCUGGGUGGCGAGUGGCGGACGGGUGAGGAAUACAUCGGAAUCUACUUUUUCGUGGGGGAUAACGUAGGGAAACUUACGCUAAUACCGCAUACGACCUACGGGUGAAAGCAGGGGACCUUCGGGCCUUGCGCGAUGGAAUGAGCCGAUGUCGGAUUAGCUGGUUGGCGGGGUAAAGGCCCACCAAGGCGACGAUCCGUAGCUGGUCUGGGUGGAUGAACAGGCACACUGGGACUGAGACACGGUCCAGAGUCCUACGGGAGGCAGCAGUGGGGAAUAUUGGACGAUGGGCGCAAGCCUGAUCCAGCCAUACCGGGUGGGUGAAGAAGGCAUUCGGGUUGUAAAGCCCUUUUGUUGGGAAAGAAAUCCAGCGCGCUAAUACCCGGUUGGGAUGACGGUACCCAAAGAAUAAGCACCGGCUAACUUCGUGCCAGCAGCCGCCGUAA
rnacentral:rRNA from 1 species